GCUUGCURGGCGGAUCAGUGGCGAACGGGUGAGUAACACGUGAGUAACCUGCCCCAGACUCCGGGAUAAGCCUUGGAAACGAGGUCUAAUACUGGAUACGAGACGCCCCUGCAUGGGGAGUGUCUGGAAAGAUUUAUCGGUCUGGGAUGGACUCGCGGCCUAUCAGCUUGUUGGUGGGGUAAUGGCCUACCAAGGCGACGACGGGUAGCCGGCCUGAGAGGGCGACCGGCCACACUGGGACUGAGACACGGCCCAGACUCCUACGGGAGGCAGCAGUGGGGAAUAUUGCACAAUGGGCGAAAGCCUGAUGCAGCGACGCCGCGUGAGGGAUGAAGGCCUUCGGGUUGUAAACCUCUUUCAGCAGGGAAGAAGCGCAAGUGACGGUACCUGCAGAAGAAGCGCCGGCUAAYUACGUGCCAGCAGCCGCGGUAAUACGUAGGGCGCAAGCGUUGUCCGGAAUUAUUGGGGCGUAAAGAGCUCGUAGRSGGUUUGUCGCGUCUGGUGUGAAAAACUCAAGGCUCAACCUUGAGCUUGCAUCGGGUACGGGCAGACUAGAGUGCGGUAGGGGUGACUGGRAAUUCCUGGUGUAGCGGUGGGAAUGCGCAGAUAUCAGGAGGAACACCGAUGGCGAAGGCAGGUCACUGGGCCGCAACUGACGCUGAGGAGCGAAAGCAUGGGGAGCGAACAGGAUUAGAUACCCUGGGUAGUCCAUGCCGUAAACGUGGGGCACUAGGUGUGGGCUCAUUCC
rnacentral:rRNA from 1 species